CUGACCCUAUUCAGGUACAUUACAACUCCAGAGAAAGAAAACUUGAGGAGACAAGAAUACUCCCCUAGCCCACCCAGCCAUAGUAUUUGUCUGACAGCUCCAACAGUUGAACUGGACCCUACCUUCUCAUCUGUCAAAUUAGAGGCUCCAGACGGAGAAUCUCAACACAGAGAGAUCAUGACUGGAUUUGUGGUAAGAAGGAACUGGAGAGGCGUCAGUCCACACCACCCCUUAUAUGCUUGGUUCGGAGCACGAGGAGAACAACUACACAGUGCAAAUGACUCUACUUGCUAGAAAUCUCCAAUCUCAGGCAUAUGGUCCUCAGGCAUAGCUGCGUGUGGAAUACAGAUAGUGACUGCACAUCUAGAAGAACCUUCAGUUACAGUUCCAUGGGUAGCCUGAAAAUCCGUCUGACAGAGGACAAACUUUGCCACCAUUCCCCUGCACUUCAGAUUGUUGAGAACACCUCAGAAUCCCUCCAAAUUUUCGCCAUGAACUUAAUUGCCAUUAUACAUGUCACAUUGUGCCCCUGGGAAGAGGACAGAGCUCUGUGGUUUCAUAAGGCCAAAAUUAGCAUUGUUUGGUUACCUGUGGUGAGGAAACACCCCCUUAUAAUAGAGAAUAUUCUCCACAGCCACACAGCAGAAAGAUACAGUAGCAUUCCUGCAAGACGGUGUGAAUAUUCCCAAUUUAAACAAUGAUGGCAUCAAAA